UACGUAGGGGGCAAGCGUUGUCCGGAUUUAUUGGGCGUAAAGAGCGUGUAGGCGGCCAUACAGGUCAGCUGUGAAAACUCGAGGCUCAACCUCGAGACGUCGGUUGAAACCGUAUGGCUAGAGUCCGGAAGAGGAGAGUGGAAUUCCCGGUGUAGCGGUGAAAUGCGCAGAUAUCGGGAAGAACACCCGUGGCGAAGGCGGCUCUCUGGGACGGUACUGGACGCGUGAG
rnacentral:rRNA from 1 species